AUUGAACGCUGGCGGCAGGCCUAACACAUGCAAGUCGAGCGAGCGGCGGACGGGUGAGUAAUGUAUGGGGACUGCCCGAUAGAUGGGGAUAACUACUGGAAAAGGUGGCUAAUCCCGCUUAAUCUCGGUUAACCCAUAUGUGAUUAUCGAGUAGGUGGGGGAUAGGCUCACCUAGGCGACGAUCUCUAGCUGGUCUGAGAGGAUGAUCAGCCACACUGGGACUGAGACACGGCCCAGAAUCCUACGGAGGCAGCAGGGGGGAAUAUUGCACAAUGGGCGCAAGCCUGAUCCAGCCAUGCCGCGUGUAUGAAGAAGGCCUUAGGGUUGUAAAGUACUUUCAGCGGGGAGGCGGUAUCCGCAGAAGAAGCACCGGCUAACUCCGUGCCAGCAGCCGCGGUAAUAC
rnacentral:rRNA from 1 species